rnacentral:rRNA from 1 species
AACGUAGGGCGCAAGCGUUAUCCGGAGUUACUGGGCGUAAAGCGCGGGCAGGCGGUUCUGCCAGUCUGAUGUGAAAUCUCUCAGCUCAACUGGGAGCAGCCAUUGGAAACUACAGAACUGGAGUCUGACAGAGGUAGGCGGAAUUCCGGGUGGAGUGGUGAAAUGCGUAGAGAUCCGGAGGAACACCAGAGGCGAAGGCGGCCUACUGGGUCAGUACUGACGCUGAGCCGCGAAAGCGUGGGGAGCGAACGGG